GCGCCCGUGGCGGAAUUGGCAGACGCGCACGGUUCAGGUCCGUGUUCCGAAAGGAGUGGUGGUUCGACUCCACUCGGGCGCACCA
rnacentral:tRNA from 1 species